GGCAUCGGCGCGCGGUUCCGCAGGGGAGGGUCCCCGGGGAGGUCCCCGGGCCGGCGCCCCGCCUCGGCUGGCGCCUAGCAGCCCGCUUAGAACUGGUGCGGACCAGGGGAAUCCGACUGUUUCAUUAAAACAAAGCAUUGCGAAGGCCCGCGCCGGGCGUUGACGCGAUGUGAUUUCUGCCCCGUGCUCUGAAUGUCAAAGUGAAGAAAUUCAAUGAAGCGCGGGUAAACGGCGGGGGAAACUAUAACUCUCUUAAGAAGCGAUACACAUAGUUACUAACUGGGCAGAGCUGCAGAGGUCACACCUCCACGUGGUCCCGCUGGAUGCCCUUUGGGGAAACCAAGUUGGCCUCUGCCCCAGAGCGGAAGUUAUAGUUCCUCCUACCCUAUCGACUGGCCUCACCAACCAGUGGAUAGUAUUCACUGCGGUGAAACAAAGUUAUGGCUCGAUAGCGUAUCGAUGCCCAAAACCUACGCCCAUAGGUAACUGUUUGGGCCAGGCAGGACAGCUUUGGAGGGUGGAGCUGUGCGGCUAUCUGACUCACCCUCACAUGGACGUGACUAAUGGUCUAUCGCGAUGCGGACCGCGUCUGUAUCGGGGGCCACUUGAUUGCGACCUAUGUACGGGUUGAGAGGGAACGCGCAAGGGUACUCUCUCUCCCCACAGGGGCUCCGGCUCCACCAUUGCCAUCGACGCCCAGCCCGAGUUCCGCUGCGGACCUGGCGACGGAGAGCACGCCGGUGGUGAGGACGCCGGAGGGACACUCAUCACGUCCGAGCAGAGGGAACCGGAUGGGAAGAACGUCGGGACUGACCAUGGAACGAGAGCACUUGGUGAAAGGGGCCUUGGACUCUCGGUGUCCCGACAAGGGAAUGAAUGCGCGGACGCGUGCGUAUCGGGUGCGAACGCGUGCGUUUCGGGCUGUAUUCUCUGUAACUUUUUUACCGCGUACUGUAACGACCGUAAGUGAAUAAACACCGCAUCGCCUCCCGGGCACCUGGCAUGGUCGGGAGUAGGUAUGUUGAGACGUGGGACUCGGAGCAUGACGCGUUACAUCCAAACUGUGACACAGGUGGACGGGCCACCUAUACUUAACCCGGAAAAGAAACGUAUAUUUUAUAUAUAUGUUCGAUAAGUAGCCAAAUGCCUCGUCAUCUAAUUAGUGA
rnacentral:ncRNA from 1 species